CCUAAUACAUGCAAGUCGAACGAACUCUGGUAUUGAUUGGUGCUUGCAUCAUGAUUUACAUUUGAGUGAGUGGCGAACUGGUGAGUAACACGUGGGAAACCUGCCCAGAAGCGGGGGAUAACACCUGGAAACAGAUGCUAAUACCGCAUAACAACUUGGACCGCAUGGUCCGAGUUUGAAAGAUGGCUUCGGCUAUCACUUUUGGAUGGUCCCGCGGCGUAUUAGCUAGAUGGUGAGGUAACGGCUCACCAUGGCAAUGAUACGUAGCCGACCUGAGAGGGUAAUCGGCCACAUUGGGACUGAGACACGGCCCAAACUCCUACGGGAGGCAGCAGUAGGGAAUCUUCCACAAUGGACGAAAGUCUGAUGGAGCAACGCCGCGUGAGUGAAGAAGGGUUUCGGCUCGUAAAACUCUGUUGUUAAAGAAGAACAUAUCUGAGAGUAACUGUUCAGGUAUUGACGGUAUUUAACCAGAAAGCCACGGCUAACUACGUG
rnacentral:rRNA from 1 species